GACGAACGCUGGCGGCGUGCUUAACACAUGCAAGUCGAACGGAAAGGCCCUGCUUGCAGGGUACUCGAGUGGCGAACGGGUGAGUAACACGUGGGUGAUCUGCCCUGCACUUCGGGAUAAGCCUGGGAAACUGGGUCUAAUACCGGAUAGGAGCCAUUUUUAGUGUGAUGGUUGGAAAGUUUUUUCGGUGUAGGAUGAGCUCGCGGCCUAUCAGCUUGUUGGUGGGGUAAUGGCCUACCAAGGCGGCGACGGGUAGCCGGCCUGAGAGGGUGGACGGCCACAGUGGGACUGAGAUACGGCCCAGACUCCGACGGGAGGCAGCAGUGGGGAAUAUUGCACAAGGGGCGCAAGCCUGAUGCAGCGACGCCGCGUGGGGGAUGACGGCCUUCGGGUUGUAAACUCCUUUCGCUAGGGACGAAGCUUUUUGUGACGGUACCUAGAUAAGAAGCACCGGCUAACUACGUG
rnacentral:rRNA from 1 species